ACGAACGCUGGCGGCGUGCUUAACACAUGCAAGUCGAACGGAAAGGCCCUGCUUUUGUGGGGUGCUCGAGUGGCGAACGGGUGAGUAACACGUGAGUAACCUGCCCUUGACUUUGGGAUAACUUCAGGAAACUGGGGCUAAUACCGGAUAGGAGCUCCUGCUGCAUGGUGGGGGUUGGAAAGUUUCGGCGGUUGGGGAUGGACUCGCGGCUUAUCAGCUUGUUGGUGGGGUAGUGGCUUACCAAGGCUUUGACGGGUAGCCGGCCUGAGAGGGUGACCGGCCACAUUGGGACUGAGCUACGGCCCAGACUCCUACGGGGGGCAGCAGUGGGGAAUAUUGCACAAUGGGCGGAAGCCUGAUGCAGCAACGCCGCGUGCGGGAUGACGGCCUUCGGGUUGUAAACCGCUUUCGCCUGUGACGAAGCGUGAGUGACGGUAAUGGGUAAAGAAGCACCGGCUAACUACGUG
rnacentral:rRNA from 1 species